UCAUCUUUUUCCCCAACAAUUGGGGGCAAGCCAAGCCGAGGCCAUGGCGGGCGGGUGGGGUCGGCCGAAGGCACAGGCGGGCUCGGCCCGGUCGAGGGCGGCGGCACGACGGCGCGCACGGAGGAUCACGGUCGCCCGGCAGAUAGGAGCCGCGGUGGCGCAGAUCCGACCACGACGACGAACGAGGAGGAGCCGCGCAGGGAUCUCCAUGGUGGGGCGGCCACGAGGACGAGCGGGGGAGGAGCACGGCCACAGCCGGGAGCUGCAGACCGGCGACGGCGGCUGAGGGCGCAGCCGGUGGUGGAAGGGCCUCGCGGCGGCGAGGCAGAGCCCGGGACGGCGAGACCGGUGGAGGGGCAAUUUUGUUGGGUUAAAACACUUUGAUAUUUGCGAAUGGAAAUUAGAGCACGACAUUCAGCAAUAUGUAGUUCCAUUCCGCUACAAUGCUCUGCUUUUGGAAAAUGCACCUGGACAUUUUGACUAGUCGUGGUCAGCCAAAAUGACUUCAUCUGGAAGUGCUCAGGUUGCAGGGCACCGGGAGGUUGACUCCAGCGACUCACUGUCAUAUUGGCCAAUUCCACGGAGUUACAAUAACCAUGGAUCAAAUGUUUUUUUCGUUGGAGGACAGCACUGGGACACCAAUGGUUUAUCAUGCAACCCUGUCCGGUUAAUAGCUUCUUGUUGAAGGCAAG